rnacentral:rRNA from 1 species
GAUGAACGCUGGCGGCGUGCCUAAUACAUGCAAGUCGAGCGAACAGACGAGGAGCUUGCUCCUUCGACGUUAGCGGCGGACGGGUGAGUAACACGUAGGUAACCUACCUAUAAGACUUGGAUAACUUCGGGAAACCGGAGCUAAUACCGGAUAAUAUUUCGAACCGCAUGGUUCGAUAGUGAAAGAUGGCUUUGCUAUCACUUAUAGAUGGACCUGCGCCGUAUUAGCUAGUUGGUAAGGUAACGGCUUACCAAGGCAACGAUACGUAGCCGACCUGAGAGGGGGAACGGCCACACUGGAACUGAGACACGGUCCAGACUCCUACGGGAGGCAGCAGUAGGGAAUCUUCCGCGAUGGGCGAAAGCCUGACGGAGCAACGCCGCGUGAGUGAUGAAGGUCUUCGGAUCGUAAAACGCUGUUAUUAGGGAAGAACAAACGUGUAAGUAACUGUGCACGUCUUGACGGUACCUAAUCAGAAAGCCACGGCUAACUACGUG